rnacentral:rRNA from 1 species
UAGGCGUACGGGUGAGUAACACGUGGAUCAUCUACCUCUUAGUGGGGAAUAACUUUGGGAAACCGAAGCUAAUACCGCAUAAGCCUGGAAAGGGGAAGCAGCAAUGCGCUGAGAGAGGAGUCCGCGGCCGAUUAGCUAGUUGGCAGGGUAAAAGCCUACCAAGGCAUUGAUCGGUAGCCGGCCUGAGAGGGCACACGGCCACACUGGCACUGAAACACGGGCCAG